UGAUCACUCUUCAUAACAUUCUGGAGUAUAUGCAAAUUUCCAUCAUACUAACUGAGGCAGCAGACUUUGAAAAUGUAUAUUUGUGUCAUUCUCAAAACUUUGGGCCACGACUGUAGGUUUCCAUCCAUUUGGUGACAGAUUUUCAUGUGAAUAUUUAAAAACUUCCGUUGAAUUUUCAACUCUACUGGUUUUGUGUGUGUGUGUGUGGGCGUGGGCGUGGGCGUGGGCGGCAGGCCAAGUACAAGGAGGCAGGGAAGCAGCAGUUCUCCACUCCUCUCUACUCAAAGCUUCCAGAGACUUUGGAGACUCAGCACGCCAAAGAGGCUUCCCAGCUACAAAGCGUGGUGGCCUAUAGGAGUAAAACGAAGCAUUACAUCUACAAUGAUGUCCUGGGAAGGUUUGAUAUCGAGCAUGCCAAUGUGGCCUCCAAACUCACUAGCCAGGAAGUGAUGUCACUGAGUAUUGCCCCUAUAUAUAGGACCUUCCACCACCUGGGAUAUGGAUGCCUGAUGACAACCUAGACGUUGAAACGUUGUUGUAAAUAAAUAUGACCUGGGAGAAUGAGCAACAGUAUGCAGUGUUUUCCUUUCUGUUUUCCAUGAGUUUGCCUACAACUCCAGAACCUGCAGAAAGUACCAGGAUGCCUCCUGCAAGCAGACAGCCCUGCUGAGGGAGAACUCGUAUUGAACAGUGUCCGAGACACAUCAGAACUACUGCACGCCGCCUACCUGAAAGCUGUCUACAGUCAGUUAGGGAUACACCACAGAAUGGGAUAUGUGCUUGGAUGGUGUGUCACACUCCCUCAACUUUAUGCAGAAGAAGUACAAGGAUGAGGCGGAGAAACUGAAGGGCUCAUAUCUGUUCGACACCCCUGAGAUUGAGAGAGUGAAGAACAACCAGAGAAACAGCUCAGUGAGGGACACAGUACACACAUACACACACUUUUAUGCAGUAUUAUCUGUCAACACAGUUACCCUUUUGCUCUACCCCUCCAGUGUCAGUACACUUGGGACUCAAAGCUGCUGAAAAGCCUGAUGUCUUCUGUCACCGACACUCCGGAAAUCAUCUUCGCCAGGGAGAACAAAGGAAAUCAGUGACAUAAGAUGUGAUCCAUUGUUCUACACAACCAUGUACCGUACAUGUAGUCGUUGGGCUGGAUGAACUCCAGUAUGUUGCUGUGAGGUUAUUGUUCAGCCUCUAGCAGAAAAGGCGGUACCUAAAUCUAUUUACUUCUUUUUCUUAUCGUAACAAGGUCUUCAACUAUCAACAAGAGGAUGAGUGAUGGUGUCAUUUGUACAAUGAGCACGUAAACAGGGCCACUGUAAUAUUGUGUGACGGCUCUGUUCCAUGUCCAGGUGAAAUACAGAGACGGGCUGGGGAGCGAGACGGUAGUCAUGGAAACUGUUGACAUGGAGAGGGUCCGCAGAAACCAGGAGAACAUCAGCUUGGUGAGAGGUUAAACCUUGUCUGACCUUUGACCUCACAGGAAGAGCUUGUUUUGAAAACAGGCCUCUCUGUUGUGUCUGCCUGUCCCUUUUCAUCUGGGUUUGUGUGGAUUUUCUACAGCUUCAAUGGUGCUAACUAAAAAUCACAAACCGCAGACACACUGAACAACCAUUCAAUCAAAUCCUGGGUUGUUAUUUUACAAUUCAACAUUUUAUUAAUUCACUCCAUUCCAUGUAAACUCCUGAAAGAUACAAGCCCACAAUGAUUUUUGUACACUAAUUUGCUCUGAAACUCUGUCCUGUCCUGCCUGACACAGACAGCCUUUCACACUGGCCCUGGUCCAGUCUAAGUCAUUACAGCCAUUAGUGGACCCUGCUGAACAAUCCCCCAUUGAGGGUGUGGAGCAGACUGAAGGGACACGGGGGCCCAGCCUGGCAGCCCAGGCAGGAUCUCUGGCGCCAUGGUGAAGGAACCGGGACACUGUUUUCACCCAGAUGCCAAUCACUAAUGAUACCCAGCAAGCUAAAUUUCUCAUGGGACGUCAUAAUGAUGUCAUUUUCUGUUUGCAAACUGGUUUUCUGGUUGCAGAGACGGAUAAACUCUGAGUUGUGAAUGUUUUAAUGUUGUGUGAAUAUUGUGUCCACAGGUGAAGCAUAAAAAGCAGCUCCAGACCCCCAGUGUGGGAGUCACCUCAGAGUUGGAGAGAGUCAGUCAGAACCAGGAGAACAUCAGCUCAGCAAGUCACAUAGGAUGCAUCUUAAAUGGCAACCUACAGUAUAUGUUAGCUCUGACCAAAAGUACUACCACUACUAUGUAGUGGAAAUGGCCUUGGUGGGAGUGUGCUUGUCAGUAUGACCACCAAUUACUUUUGAGCUAUUUUAGAUUAUUGAGAUGCAACCCGACCUACUUUUGUGUGUUGCAGGUGAAGUACCAGCGCGGGAUGAAGGAGAUGAAGGGGCGGUCCUGCGGCGGGUUGGACACGCCCGGACUGAGUAGUGUCAGGGAGUCACAGAACGACAUCUAACACAACUGAAGCGCACCACAUGUGGGACUGCUGCACUUUUAACCCGCACAGCUAAAGAGUUAACAGCAUGGCUGUUUCCUUGUUAUGAGGGAGCCAUAAUGAAUGUACUGUACUGUGUCUGUGAGCGUGUCUGUGUGCAUUACUAAUAAAGUGAUUUUUACAUGG